rnacentral:lncRNA from 1 species
CUGGAAACAAUCGAGUAUAAAAAUCGAGGGAGGCAACUUUGGUUGUGAAAAUUUUUCUGUACUUUCUUCAUUCGGAACCCAAACUCAAAAGUAGGGAGACUAGUGUUGGGUAUAAAAUAACCCCAACCGAAGUUAGUAAGAGGCCGACCCUCCCAGGGCUCCUCCAGCUUCCGACCUUGUGCAGUGUCUUUCUGAACUCCUCCGGCU